UGAUUCACAGAGAAAUUCUGUCUCAAAAACAAAAACAAACAAAAAUUGGUUAAUUUAUCUCAAUUAGAAACAUUUUCUAUUAAAAAUAAGGCUAAGUUAGUAUUAAAACCUGAAACAGAGCCUACUGGGCCCUUGCCAAUCCCCAAGUAACACCUCAAUCCUUCCAGCAAUUAAGGCCAGGUGGUGCAAGACCUGCUUAGCUUUGCCAAAGAAGAAAUAAACCUGCCACAUCCUCUAAUGGCUAAUUUUACCUCUCUGUGUCUGGUCCCUGAAACUAUUAAAUAGAAUGUGGUGCUAUAUCUAGAAGAUGUGGCUUGUGAUUUGUUUUUCAGUUCCUUGUACCUGACUCUUGGUAUUUGCUUGUCUUCAACUGAACCUUUAAGGAUUCAAGUACCACCCUUGACUUGUGACUAGCGUGUAACGUAGAGGUCUUAGGACUCAAUUUUGGCAGAAGGACCGUUCUUCCAUAUAUUGAACAAAUUUUGAUGUGGAUCUCUACCAAGUGCAGCUCAUACCAAAACAAUGUGAGAAUCCUAAACCAUACUUGGUGUUAGCCUUUGUGUGUUUUGCCUGUGAAUAUGUAAGGACACUGCAUGGCAGGCUUGUACCUGAGGAAGUCUGAAGAUGGUGGCGGAUCCUCUAGAACUGUAGUUAUGGAGUGCUAUAAGUCUCCUUGUGAAAACUGGAACUGAUUCCAGGUCCUAAGUUAAAAAAAAUUAGGUAGUGUUAUCUUCUAAGACUUUCCAGAACAAGAAUAUUUUUAUUGCCAUAUAAUCAUAGCAGAGGCACCCCAAAUGAUUUUUCACAAUUCAGACUACUCACCUUUAUCUACUGGAAUGUACCCUGUAAAGCCACCUAUGCACAGUGGCAAUUCUUCUCCUCUGGGAAUGUAUAGAUUACAAUAUUUCUGGGAACUCUUCUUUGCUGGGUGGGUGGCAGUGAGCUUAGAAAGCAUUGGACCCCUUCUCUUACCUGGAAGCUUUCCAUAGCUGUACCUUAUAAUUAUAUUGUGUCCAGUGUUCAACUUGUGCUGCAAGCUAUCAGCACACUGGGUUUUUCCUCUGUGGAACAAGGGGCUUCUAUGUCUUGCACUAGAGAUGAUGAGGUGGUUUGUCAUUCUUGAGCUCAUUUAAAUAUACCCAUGUAAAUUUUAGAGCUCCUAGGCAUAUUGCCAACUUGGGACCUUUCCCCAAGACAUCCUUGAUAUACCUUCUUUACAGAAAAAAGAUAUUUGAUUGGGGGACUAAUGAACAUUCCUGAUUUGGGUGUAAGCAAGAGUGAAAGGAAGACACUAAACAAAACCACUCUAUUGGUAGAAAAAAAGCUAAUUGUGGAAUCAGAACUUCCAGGCACUCUCUGUGGGUGGGGGCAGAUAAAUAGCAUAAAGUGGGAAAAGUCGUCUGGCUCCUUUUAAGGAGACAGGUUUCAGUGAGAGCCCGCCUGGAAGUCAGGAUAGCCUGGAAGUUAGGAGUAGUGGGAGGAAGCAUGUAGGCCAGAGCAGCCUGGCAGAUAGCUAGGGACUUUGGUCUGUUCCAGGCUUGUUGAAUGGGGAACUAGAUGCCACAUUGCUGGAGGACAUUGGUUAUAGGGACAAAUAAGGGAGGCAGUGGCAUUCCCUAACCAUCAGAAACCCAUGUCACACGAUUUCUGAAUCGUGAUGACUAACGUUACACGCUAGUCAUGCUGAGUUCAGGCUUUUGGUUUUCCUUUGCUAUUCCUUCUGUUUACGUGAUCAUAAUUCAGCCUGAUCCCAGACUGUCACUUAGGACAUACAUUGUCAGCAUCCCUGAUAUUUUGGAGGUCUGUUUUGGACCUAAGAAUUCCUAAAGGGCCAAUCUCAAACCUUGGCACUUAUCAGACUGAAGGGCCAUUGUUAUUGUUAUCAAGGCACAAAAAAUCCCUGUCUCACACAAAUAAAUAUUCUGAUGAUCACAGGAACAGAGAUGACAAAGACAGGACAGAGAAAAAGAGAGAUAAUAUUUUGCCCAGUUUAGAGCAAGUAAGAUUUUCUAACCAACCAUAGUAGCAAGCUUCGACUUUGUAAAAAAAAAAUAACGCUAAGCCAACAAGUAAGAUUAAGGUCUGUCUCUUAGUGUAUGUCUUACAGUAGGAGGGUUAUACAUUUAUUACUCAUUACACCUAUGUGAGCAAGUUGCUUCUCAGUGAUGCCAAUUACAUGAAGGUUAUUCUGAUAGUUAGCCCUAAGUAAAGCACAUUGAACCCACUGAUUUGGAGUAAAAUUCCUAAAUGUUCAAGACACUUCCUGGACAUCAGGGACAGGGGAAGACUGAGAAGCAAUGACUAAUUACCAAAAACAUGGCAAAUUCCCACCUACAAGGUAAGUUAUUAGUCCAUUUUACUUUCCUUGUAUAUGUCAGUGAACCUAUAAUGAAACAUGUGCUACUGUAUGAAAGGGGACUUCUUUAAUUUCCUAUUAUGAAAAUAGUUUUGCCAACAAACUGAUUGUUCUUAAAAAAAUCCCAAAGACAAUGGCACUCUGUCCAAGAAGGAAAAUUCCAUACUGACCAUUUAGUUUCUAAUUCUUUAUCUGAGAAGCAAGGGCUAGGUAGGUUAAUUUACUCAGACAUGGAUACUACUAGUUUAGGGCUAGUUCAUGCCCUUCCGGUGAUUCUUCUACUAUUUUGGUGACUGGACCAAUAGAAAAGUUUGAUGACAAACUAAAGAAGCUUAUACUCAGAAAAGGCAAGCAAGUCCUGUGCUUUAAACAGACUUAUUCCAAUCUGUGAUUAACAGUGUUUUUCUUGUGAAUUAUUCCAGAAUGCCCUGGGUUGAUAUAUUCUAUUUGCUCAGGAGUUUCUGUCAGAUCAGUUUGGCUUUUGUUUUCUUCUAGUUUUGAUCACUAUGCUUCUCUUGCAUAGCUACACUUUACGGGUUUUGUUAACAUUAAUGCUAGCUUGUCUAAAAUCAGUAAUCUAUAUGAAUAAGCUGUGACAGGAAUUUGAGUCAUGAGUUUUAUCAUGUAUUUUAAUACUUGUUACUUCAGAAGUCUUGCUUAAUUAAUGGUAUGUAUUCUCAAUCAAGCCAGAAUGUCUGUAUACUUUCAUGCAAUAGGAGUGGAGCAUAUUAAGUUAACAAGUGGGAAUAAAUUCUCUUCUUUAUGCUUGCAUGUACACAUGUUUAAACGCAGAUCACAUGAAGUAGCUUUCUAACAAGUCCCUUAUUGUUAGUCGGGGUUUUCUGAAAUGUAGGUGUGUAAAUGAGGAAGUCUGAAUGCAUGAGCAUUUACCUUGUUCAGUUUCCAUUUGCAAUGGCCCCUGAAACUGCUGAUGGAAGGCUUAGCAUUACACACAGAAGAUGUCUACUUUAGGAGAUUUGAUAUCCAUGCUAAAGGUAGUCAGUGACAGUUUGCCAGAACCUUGUUGUCUCUUGCUCUGAAAUAUGAUCAUAUUAUGUGCAAUCUGUUCUGCUUGGCUUCUUUCCCAACAAACCAAAAGACAAAGCAAAUACCUUGUUGAGUUACCUAGUCAAUAUCUCUGGCAGGUACCAGCCCUUCUUCUCCACACAGAGCCUCCAAAUUACUACUCAGAUCUUUCAGUUUAUUACUGCUUUCUAUUCUAUGGAGCUUUCAGAAUAGCGUUGAUGGAGUUUCUCCACUGCUAAAUGCUCAUGUAGGAGCUGUUUUCUCAGCCCUGAGACAAAGUCCCAAGCCUCCUUUUGAAUCUUGACAUUCUAGACACAAUAGCCUUGUGAAAUGGAAAGUCUGUACACAACAAACAAAAUUGUUGACUACAUAGCUCUCCUCCUCAUGCCUACUUUAAGAAAAUUCUGGUCAAAUGGUUGUCACUCACUCAGCCUUUAAUUUGAUGGACUCAGCUGAAAUUGCAAUAAACAUUUAGAGUAAUUGGCUCUGUGACAGGCUAUCCAUCACGAUCAGAACCUAUAGUUUCUGUAUUUUUUUUUACAAGAAAGUACUUAACUUGUCUUAGUUCUUAUACACUGGUUACUUUGCACUGCCCUUGAAUACCUUUUAGAGCAGGUAGCUCCAGGCUAAACAUAACAUCAGACCUUGUCUUUAGCAUGCCUUUUCUUCUUUGUCAAAUUAUAUUUUGUAGUUAACAGAAUAUACAUAUCUCUUUUUGUUUGCUUUUCUUUCAGUAUCCAGUGAAUCAUAAAAUAAUCAUGGCAAAGUUCCCUAUUUUAAAAUUUAUGUCAAAUUAGUCAGUCCUAUAAAAUUCCAGGGGCAUAACAAUUUAGUGGCCUACAAAAGGAAAGUCUCUAAAUCUCACAAGCAUAUGUGUCAAUUUUCUAGCAAUAAAGGAAGUUUUAACAUAAUAUUUUCAUUUCCAAAUAUAUGUUUUUCAAUACCUUAAUUGAAAUAGAGAAUCUUGGGUUAUUUUUUUCUGUUUCCCCCUUGUGGUACUUACUUUUCCUGAUGCUAUAAUAAAAUAUUCUGACUAAAGCAACUUAAGGGAGAAAAUGUUGAUUCUGACUCACAGUCCAAGUACAGAGUAUAACUUGAUAUGGCAGAGAAGCCAACAGUCAACGUGACACACUUGAAACAGCAUGAUAAAUUGCUUUCACAAUCUGAGAGUACAGAAAGAUGAAGGCAUGCUGUUGCUCAUUUCUCUCUAUUCAUGCAGUACUGGGUCCCAGUCCCAGUCCCAGUCAAGGACUAAUGCAAUGCACAGUCAUCAUCUUAACUAAUGCAGUCAGGAUAAUUCCCCAGAGGUAUGCUCAGAGGUCUAUAUUCCAGGUGAUUCUCAAUAAUGCCUACUUGACAAUGCUAACUACUCUAUAUGUUGACUCUUUUCAGAUUUCAAAUAAACUUUCAAAUCUUGAUGACCACUUGUAGAGGAGUCACUAUUGAGAUUUCAGCUAAAACACAUGUCUUGAUUUGGACAUGAAGAAAUGAUGAGUUGCAUACUGGUGCAGUUACCGAAUUCCGAAGGUGUAACCACACUUAUCAUCUAGCAUUUUGAUCAGCUCAUUUAAAAAGUCUUCACACAGGUAUGUUUUAGAAAAAGCACUAAAGUCAUAUAGUGAAGAAAAUAUGUGCAUGGGUGUCCUUCCUGCAUGUAUGUGUAUGAACUGCCUGAAUCUGCACACUCUGAGGAUAGAGCAUGGUUUCCAAUCCCACUAAAUGGUGGCUGUAACCCUCUCUGCUUACAGAAGACCUGGAAGAGGAACACAAAGGAUCUUGAUACCCCAUCUGGCAGUUGGAAGUCCCUGAGCUCCUACUUGCUCCUUCCAGGUUUUGAUCCCUUUGCUCAUCACUCCUACAUCCCUGCAACUGGAUUCCAGGAGUUCAGCUAAAAGUGUACAUGCUCUGCAUGAGAUGAAUAGGCUGAGAGAAUGAGUGUCCAGGCUUCCUUGGUUCAAAGAGGGCACUGUAAAAAUACUUCCCACAUUCUCCUUGCCUGCUACUGGAAAAGAAUCUUCCUCCAUUUUAUGUCUCUUGGUUGUGAUGGUUUGGCUUGUACUCCCCACAAUGUGCUUCCACUGGAUUUAGUUACAGGAGGACCUAAAACAGGAUCCCCAAAAUCCUAUGUUCUGUUAUAAGCUGUCUUGUGUCUCUGCUUAGUAAAAAUUGUUACAGUAUCCCUUCUGGUUUACAGUGAAGGAGCUCCCAGAGGAGCUGAGCUCAGAUGUGAUUUUCUAUAUCAUUGCAACAGACCCCUGGGUUCUGCUUUGUCUGUGACCAAAAUUCUAUAAUACUUCUUGUAUACGUCAUUGAAUUUUUAAUUUAAAUAUUUGAGACUAUAAUAUCAUUAUAUAUUUUCCAUUUUCUGUUUCUUUUCUUCAAGCCCUCCUGGACCUCCUUGCACUCUGUCAAAUCUUUUUACAUUGCUCGUUGUUACAUACACAACCAUAAAUAUAUAGAUACAACCUGCUUAAUCUGUAGGUUUUUGGUAUCUUCUCAGGGCUUUUCUUUAAAAUACUGUAUUAAAUUUUCAUAUUCUAAAAACCUGCUUCUCUUUCUUUCCCACCCUUCUGUUUCCACCCUCCUUUCCCCACACUCUCCCUUACCCAAAAUAACAAUUUGUAUGGACAAGUCCCUAGUUAUUAUAUCUCUGCUUACAUUAGUUGUUCUGAAAAUGUAAUGAAAGCAGUUUUUGAAAUGUUCCCAAACCCUGAGAUGUCUUUAUGUGAUAUAAUCUCUCAUGAUUUUAGGUAUGGCCAGUGAGCCCCUGUUCCUAGUCAGUUAUCAGAUUAGGAAUAAAAAGAAAAACAUCAUUAUAUAAUUAUCACUUGCUAAAUGGCAAAGUUUGACAUGUGAACAGUGUACAAUUCAUCUUGAAUCAUUACAUUUUCACAGUACAAUAGACUGAUACAGUUGUUAGUCACAUAGUGUCUUUACAGAAAACAACAGAUUUCAUGUCAUAUGAUGUUAUUUUUUAAUAACCUAUGUAUCUUGUUUAUGUUCUAUAUAAUUUGGAGAUGAUUAUUAUUUUCUCUUUAAUUUCACAAUCCACAUAUUUUUCUAUAAAGAUAGUCCUACUGAUUAUCUAACUGUCCUUUCCAAUGACUUUAGUGGUGAGCAUUAGUAGUAAUGUAACGUACAAUGUUAUCACUUGAUUUUGCAUAUUGUUUUGUUAAGGAAUAAAAUAUAAAAUAUUAAGACUUAAUAUUGCCUUCAUUUAUGUCUGCUUUGUGGGAAUAGUUAUUCUAGAGAAAGAAAAUACUGUAAGAUGCAUCAAAAUCUUAAAAUUUGAAAUAGUAAUAAAAGUAAAAUUAGUUAUAAUGAAUAACAUUUAGUACAAUGAUUUAAUGUUUAUUUGGAUGUGUUCUCUCAUAUGGUUGGUCACAUUAUACACAUUGUUUAUCUUCAUUGUAAAA